UGUUUCAGGCUUCUCGCCAUUGCCAAACCAGGGCAAGCAGAAGCGCAAACGGACGUCUAACUCACUGCAGCAGCAAGCUCCAUCAAUGCCUCCCCCGUGCUCGCAUCUCCCGCGACAUAUAUGGUUUAUGUGUACCAUUUUUCCGAUGCCGCAGACGAUGAUACUGCCUUGUCUAAUGGUGCCCAACAACCUUGGUCAGUGGUCGGUUCGACGAUGAUUGGAUGACCAAGGAUGUCGGGAGCCAUCGAUCGAGAUGGCAUCAUCAUUUGCGGCAUAAGAAAAUGGUACAUAUGAACCAUACCUGUAUAAGGGAGAUGCAGGCAUGGGAGGAGGCGAUGACAGAGCUUUCUGCUGCCGUGACUUAGACGUCCGUUUGCGCUUCUGCUUGCCCUGCGUUGGCGAAGGCGAGAAGCAUGAAUCAGAC